CCUGGUUGAUCCUGCCAGUAGUCAUAUGCUUGUCUCAAAGAUUAAGCCAUGCAAGUCUAAGUACGAGCUCUCGUACAGUGAAACUGCGAAUGGCUCAUUAAAUCAGUUAUAGUUCAUUUGAUCGUACAGUUUACUUGGAUAACUGUGGUAAUUCUAGAGCUAAUACAUGCGAGAAGCGCCGACCUCGCGGGAGGCGUGCAUUUAUCAGACCAAAAACCGGCCGCGUCUUCGGGCGCGUUCGCCUUGGUGACUCUGGAUAACUUUGCGGAUCGCACGGUCUAGCACCGGCGACGGAUCAUUCAAGUGUCUGCCCUAUCAACUUUCGUCGGUACGGUAUUUGCCUACCGAGGUUCUUACGGGUGACGGGGAAUCAGGGUUCGAUUCCGGAGAGGGAGUCCUGAGAAACGGCUACCACAUCCAAGGAAGGCAGCAGGCGCGCAAAUUACCCAUUCCCGACGCGGGGAGGUAGUGACGAAAAAAUAACAAUGCAGGACUCGUUCGAGGCCCUGUAAUUGGAAUGAGUACACUUUAAAAGCUUUAACGAGUAUCCAUUGGAGGGCAAGUCUGGUGCCAGCAGCCGCGGUAAUUCCAGCUCCAAAAGUAUAUAUUUAAGUUGUUGCGGUUAAAAAGCUCGUAGUUGGAUUUUGGGCGCAGGCGGCCGGUCCGUCGCAAGGCGUGUACUGGACGUCCUGGCCUUCCCUCCGGUUCUCCGCCGGUGCUCUUGACUGAGUGUCGGCGGCGGCCGGAACGUUUACUUUGAAAAAAUUAGAGUGUUCAAAGCAGGCUCUCGAGCCUGGAUAAUGGUGCAUGGAAUAAUGGAAUAGGACCUCGGUUCUAUUUUGUUGGUUUUCGGAGCGCGAGGUAAUGAUUAAGAGGGACAGACGGGGGCAUUCGUACUGUGCCGUUAGAGGUGAAAUUCUUGGAUCGGCGCAAGACGAACGACUGCGAAAGCAUUUGCCAAGAAUGUUUUCUUUAAUCAAGAGCGAAAGUCAGAAGUUCGAAGACGAUCAGAUACCGUCCUAGUUCUGACUAUAAACGAUGCCAACUA
rnacentral:rRNA from 1 species